rnacentral:other from 1 species
AGGACGAAGGAAUUUGCAGUAAACAGGAUGUUUGCUGGUCAGGAAGACACAACGGACUCGUCGAAGGAAAGACGAAAGGAACACCUUCAGGAAGAAGGCGGGACAUGCUCAGGAACGAGUGCGAGUCGAAACAUGAUGGUUCGACGGGUCAAGGUAAGACUAAAGGACACCUCCAGGACGGAGAGUUAAGGACAUCGCUGAAGGAAUCAGCCACUAAUCAAGGAAAUGAUGCAGGGAGCACAUUUCGUAGCUGGAUAGCUGCAAGUAAGACCUCUAGGGCACGACGAUAGUCGUGCCCGUUCUUUUUUCU